ACGGAAGGCAGCAGUGAGGAAUAUUGGUCAAUGGGCGGAAGCCUGAACCAGCCAAGUCGCGUGAAGGAUGAAGGUAUUAUGUAUUGUAAACUUCUUUAGACGUAGAGAAAUAAGGAGGUCGUGACCUCUGAUGCUAGUAUACGUAGAAUAAGGAUCGGCUAACUCCGUGCCAGCAGCCGCGGUAAUACGGAGGAUCCGAGCGUUAUCCGGAUUUAUUGGGUUUAAAGGGUGCGCAGGCGGUCUUUUAAGUCAGUGGUUAAAUCGUGGAGCUUAACUCCAUCCCGCCAUUGAUACUGGAGGACUUGAUUACGGUUGAGGUUGGCGGAAUUCGCCGUGUAGCGGUGAAAUGCAUAGAUAUGGCGAAGAACUCCGAUUGCGUAGGCAGCUGACCAAGCCGUAAAUGACGCUCAUGCACGAAAGUGCGGGGAUCGAACAGGAUUAGAUACCCUGGUA
rnacentral:rRNA from 1 species